rnacentral:rRNA from 1 species
GACGGGGGCCCGCACAAGCAGUGGAGUAUGUGGUUUAAUUCGAAGCAACGCGAAGAACCUUACCAGGUCUUGACAUCCAACUAACGAAGUAGAGAUACAUCAGGUGCCCUUCGGGGAAAGUUGAGACAGGUGGUGCAUGGUUGUCGUCAGCUCGUGUCGUGAGAUGUUGGGUUAAGUCCCGCAACGAGCGCAACCCUUGCUAUUAGUUGCUACGCAAGAGCACUCUAAUAGGACUGCCGUUGACAAAACGGAGGAAGGUGGGGACGACGUCAAAUCAUCAUGCCCCUUAUGACCUGGGCUACACACGUACUACAAUGGCCGUCAACAGAGGGAAGCAAAACAGCGAUGUGGAGCAAACCCCUAAAAACGGUCCCAGUUCAGAUUGCAGGCUGCAACCCGCCUGCAUGAAGUCGGAAUUGCUAGUAAUCGCGGAUCAGCAUGCCGCGGUGAAUACGUUCCCGGGCCUUGUACACACCGCCCGUCACACCAUGGGAGCCGGUAAUACCCGAAGUCAGUAGCCUAACGCAAGAGGGCGCUGCCGAAGGUAGGAUUGGCGACUGGGGUGAAGUCGUAACAAGGUAG